rnacentral:rRNA from 2 species
GCAGUCGAACGAACUCUGGUAUUGAUUGGUGCUUGCAUCAUGAUUUACAUUUGAGUGAGUGGCGAACUGGUGAGUAACACGUGGGAAACCUGCCCAGAAGCGGGGGAUAACACCUGGAAACAGAUGCUAAUACCGCAUAACAACUUGGACCGCAUGGUCCGAGUUUGAAAGAUGGCUUCGGCUAUCACUUUUGGAUGGUCCCGCGGCGUAUUAGCUAGAUGGUGGGGUAACGGCUCACCAUGGCAAUGAUACGUAGCCGACCUGAGAGGGUAAUCGGCCACAUUGGGACUGAGACACGGCCCAAACUCCUACGGGAGGCAGCAGUAGGGAAUCUUCCACAAUGGACGAAAGUCUGAUGGAGCAACGCCGCGUGAGUGAAGAAGGGUUUCGGCUCGUAAAACUCUGUUGUUAAAGAAGAACAUAUCUGAGAGUAACUGUUCAGGUAUUGACGGUAUUUAACCAGAAAGCCACGGCUAACUACGUGCCAGCAGCCGCGGUAAUACGUAGGUGGCAAGCGUUGUCCGGAUUUAUUGGGCGUAAAGCGAGCGCAGGCGGUUUUUUAAGUCUGAUGUGAAAGCCUUCGGCUCAACCGAAGAAGUGCAUCGGAAACUGGGAAACUUGAGU